UACAGAGGGGGCAAGCGUUGUUCGGAAUUACUGGGCGUAAAGGGCGCGUAGGCGGCCCACUAAGUCGAACGUGAAAUCCCCGAGCUCAACUCGGGAACUGCGUCCGAUACUGGUGGGCUUGAAUCCGGGAGAGGGAUGCGGAAUUCCAGGUGUAGCGGUGAAAUGCGUAGAUAUCUGGAGGAACACCGGUGGCGAAGGCGGCAUCCUGGACCGGCAUUGACGCUGAGGGCGCGAAAGCCAGGGGAGCAAAGCGGG
rnacentral:rRNA from 1 species